CUUAACACAUGCAAGUCGAACGGAACUCCAGGGCUUGCUCUGGGGAAGAGUGGCGCACGGGUGAGUAACACGUAGGUAACGUUCCUUUUGGUUCGGAAUAACCUGCCGAAAGGCGGGCUAAUACCGGAUAAUCUCCUUGGGGGUUCGCCUCUGGGGAAGAAAGCAGGGCAACCUGCGCCGAUCGAUCGGCCUGCGUCCCAUCAGCUAGUUGGUGAGGUAACGGCUCACCAAGGCAACGACGGGUAGCUGGUCUGAGAGGAUGAUCAGCCACACUGGGACUGAGACACGGCCCAGACUCCUACGGGAGGCAGCAGUGGGGAAUAUUGGUCAAUGGGCGCAAGCCUGAACCAGCAAUGCCGCGUGAGUGAUGAAGGCCUUCGGGUUGUAAAGCUCUGUCGGGAGGGACGAAAAAAGCCGGGUCAUACCGGAACUUAACGGUACCUCCAAAGGAAGCACCGGCUAACUCUGUGCCAGCAGCCGCGGUAAUACAGAGGGUGCAAGCGUUGUUCGGAAUUACUGGGCGUAAAGCGCGUGUAGGCGGCAGUGUAAGUCGGAUGUGAAAGCCCUUGGCUUAACCAAGGAAGUGCAUCCGAUACUGCUCUGCUUGAGUGUCGGAGGGGAUGGCGGAAUUCCCGGUGUAGAGGUGAAAUUCGUAGAUAUCGGGAGGAACACCUGUGGCGAAGGCGGCCAUCUGGACGAUAACUGACGCUGAGACGCGAAAGCGUGGGUAGCAAACAGGAUUAGAUACCCUGGUAGUCCACGCUGUAAACGAUGAGUGCUAGGCGUCGUGGGUAUUGACCCCUGCGGUGCCGAAGUUAACACGUUAAGCACUCCGCCUGGGGAGUACGGUCGCAAGAUUAAAACUCAAAGGAAUUGACGG
rnacentral:rRNA from 1 species